CGGGCGGCGGUCUCCCCAGCCCCGCCCCGCCCCACCCCACCCCGGGGGUAAAGCGACGCCGACUCGAGGCGGAGGUUUUGCCUCCCGCCUGAUGGUACGAACAAUGCCUCGCUUUGUUACUGUGCUUUGUAAGCGCUUUCCAAAGGUUAUCCCUUUGAUGGUUGCCUGGCUCUCUGCUUCACAACCUGGCUGUGUUCAUUGUUCCCACAUCAAUGGCCUAUUGACUAUCCAAAAUGACCUUUCUGCAGUGUUUGUGGCCUCACCGCAUCAAGUUGCAGCCAGGCGCAGUUCUCUCGGUUAUGAGGGGUUUAUCUGUUUAUCUUUGCCUUUAACAGCAAAAAUAGAUGUAAAGGUUUUAAAAAUUUAAACAUUUUAGAAAAUAAAUGAUUCUGCUAUGGAAGUUGUAUGACUGUUUAGGAUAAACAGCGUAAAUUAUGGGCCACGUGAUGAAAGGUAGCAAAAGGCAGUUUGAAAGCCUAACUGAAAAUUCAAAGAAUUGAUAGGGAGAAUAACAUUACUUGAAAUAAAAAUUCGUAUUUAUAUGGCACUUUGAAUUUUACAAAGCAGUCUCCCGGCCACAAACCUGUGAGGUAGAUAUUUUCUUUUUACAGUUGAGGAAACAGGUAUCUCAGAGAUGUUGUCCCCUGCUCAGUGGCUCAGUGAAUAGAGAGUACUGACCUUUGGCUUCAGGAAACCUACGUUUGAAUCCUGGCUGACACAUUUAUUAGCUUUGUGUGAUCUCUGUGUCUAAUUUAUAAAAGGGAAUAAUAGCACCUACUUCACAGAAAGGUUUUGAGAAUUACAUGAGUUAAUAUAUAUAAAGCACUUUGCAAAACAAAGUGCUGUGUAAAUGCUAGCUAUUAGAAGAUCUGAAGUGGCAAAACUAGGAUUUGAAUCUAUUAAAGUCUAAGUAUAUUUUCACGAUCUAUUUCCUCCAAAAUAGCUCUGAACAGAUAUAAUCAAAGAUGUUAUAAGGAUAUAACAAAGCCAAUAAACAUUUAAAUUUGAUACCUGUUA